AGGCUGAGUCCAUUUUGUAGACGCUGGCUGUGUGGCAUGCAACCCUACUUUUAUAGCUAGCCUCCGUAACCCUUACGCAUGCUUACGGUAAACUGCAAAAAAGUUUACUGUAGUUUUGGCACCGGUGGCCUUAAAGUGGCUAAAUCUGUAGUAAAAAGGAACCCGCAACAAGCCUACAGCAACCCCGCCGCUCCCUGAGGCUUUUGACGAUCCUGUCGUCUCGUCCGGCGGGAAGCGAUGCCUCUGUGAAAAGAGGCUAGCGUGACCAGUAAAUCGGCCAACGGCGCGCGGUGUUUUGGCGGAGCUACAACCACCAGUCAUGGAGGAACAACCCUCGCAGCAGAAGCCACAAGAGGAAGGAGCAACGAUGCAAGGCUCAUCAGACUGUGACGUCUUACGUUUGUGCAAGCAGCUGCAGGAGAUACGUGCCCAGCUUGCCAAGGCCAGGGCCAAGGUGCAGGUCGAUGGCACCAUUCAAGACAAGGCAGCGGCAAAAUUAGAUGAAGUGUGCGAGUUGCUACAGCAAGAAAGCCAGAGUGACGGUUCUACCUGUCCAAAAGAUGGAACCCCAUCGGAAAACAAUGCUUCGACGAUGACCGAAGACGAUGCCGUGAAUGCAGUUGUUGAGGGGCCGGCCUCUGGUCCAAGUUGUUGUGCUGCAAAUGAAACAGUUGGGGGCGACGACAGUGCCGUUUCGCCGGCGGUCAUUGUGGACACGGCAAACCUUGACAUCGCCUGCGAGACCGUCUCAACCUCAGACUACUGCGUUGUCGCAGAGAGCCCGCCGCCUGCGGAAGCAGACGGAGUGCGUAACAGCACACUGGGAAGCUCUCCUUACAAUGAGGACCACUGCUACGCAGCAGGCACUAGUGGCGGUGAAUGCAUCCUUCCCGACUCGCAGACUUCGUUAAAAUUCAUCCACCAGAGUUCGGAGAAAAGGCCUGCUCCCACUGACACGCAAACUCCAGAUGCGAAGAAGUUGAAGACUGUUUCGUCAGUCUCUUCCGGCACUCCACUCAAGGGCCAAGUGAUCGUGGCAGGAGCCCGUGUUCCGUCGGGGACCCCGGGUCCCGUGAUUGUGCGCCGGUGCAUCCUGCAGCCCGCCGGGACGAACAUUUCACAGACGCUGCGGAACUCGUCGCUGCCCAUUGCUAGCCAAUCCAGAGUCACCAUGGUAGUCAAGGCAAAGGAUGCCGGCAAACCGAUUCGUGUGCCGGUUCACAUGUAUUCCUCGUCGAAUCAGCAAAGUGGUGAACCUGGCAAAGACUCGCCGCAGAAACUCACGAUCGUGCACAUGAAGGUCCUGCAGCAGUCACCACAAACUAGUAAAGCAGCAACUGCAGAAAAGGCACAGAAAACGCAGAAAACGAUGUCCAAGGGAUGUCAGACGACCAGAAUCACCAGGGCCCAGACAAGGAAAAAGGCUGCCCCCGUGGAAGUUAAGCAGGAGCCCUGUACUGCACUCGUGAAGACAUUCCCGCAGCCAGAUAAGCGCAAGGGACGCAGGAAAGGCAAGAACGCCAUGACCACCCAGUGCGUGGUGUUCUGCUGCGAGGCGUGCGGCGACGCAUUUUCGGCGGCCAAGCACCUGCACCGUCAUUGGCAGACCCGGCACCGGAAAAGGCAAGAGGGCAAGCACCAGUGCUCCUACUGCACCUACAGCAGCGACCGGAAGGCCCACGUCACCAUGCACGAGCGGACCCACACGGGCGAGCGCCCCUUCUCCUGCUACGUGUGCCAGAAGGGCUUCUACCGGGCCGACGACGUCGAGACCCACAUGCGCGUGCACACCAAGGAGAAGCCGUUCGAGUGCAACGAGUGCGGCCAGCGCUUCAACGUCUCCUCGAACCUGAACCGCCACAAGAAGCUGCACUCGGACGACGCCGAGAUCCACGCCUGCGCCGACUGUGGCAAGACCUUCAACCAGAAGGUGCACCUCAAGUCGCACCUGCGCACACACACGGGCGAGCGGCCCUACCAGUGUAGCCAGUGCAACCAGCGCUUCACCGAGCUCGGCAGCGUCCGGAAGCACGAGCGCAUGGUGCACGCCGGCGACUACCCGCACUACUGCCCGCACUGCGGCAAGGGCCUGGCCAACAACUUCAAGCUGAAGAAGCACCUCCGUGCCCGCCACUUUCAGUUCAAAAUGGAGGACUAUGUGGACGAAGAGGAAGAGACACCACAGACGGCGGAGACAUAACGAAAGCGGUUUGAAAGGCAUGGAGUUAAGGGCAGGGGACGAGGUGCAGCGAGGCAGCGUCUGGCAUCGCGGGUUCAGCAGUGCCAAGCAAAAGAAAGAGAGUCAGACUCGGCUGUCCAGUGUCUGCAAGCUUGUGCACGCCUGGAAGCAUUAGCUCACGCUUUAACCAGUAGCUAGAAGCCACAGGUCCUGAAGUACGAACACUAUCAGCGUUGCGACAGUGAUGCUUGUAGAAGCAGACGGCAUUUGAAGGGCAGUUCUUGUGCUACUCCCUGAGCUGGCAAAAAAAAAAGGGCUCGGCAAACAACAAAAGAACUGGCAUGCCUGCACCUCUGGGUCUGGCUUGUGUGCUGAUGAGGAACAGUAGAAAUUGAGAGCAUAAUGGAUUUACAAAUAGGCACUCUUGAAGAGUAAAGAUAAAAGACAUUGCUGACAGGAUUGUGCUUGUGUGGAACACCCAGGAAUCCUGAAGAAAAACCAGGCAACGCUUUUUAGAGGCAGCAGCUUGAUGAAUGACUUGAACUGAAGAAGCACCUGCAGAUACGGCUUUAUUUUCAUAAGCACUUCAAGGCAAUUAAGCGCAACAGAACACGUAUGACGGGAGAAGUAGAGUUCUGAAACUGUAAGGAAGAAUACCAUGGCAGCACAUUUAAAUUGCACCGUGUGUCCAUCCGUUACUCCGGCGAGUCCAGCAGUGCAUGCAAUGUGACCUGGAUUUUCAGAUGAACUUGGGAAAGGAGGACUUGAAGUCCCAGAAACGUUUGUGUAUGCAGAAAUGAGCUUCACCACAGAGUGUGUUGCCUAAGCAUUAAUAAACAGAUUCUUGUGGGAACUGUCGAGGUUGUGCUAAGGGCGAGGGGGAGUGAAAUCACCAAGCCAGAAAAAUUCUGAAUUGAACUGGCCUUAAAAUCAAGGGAAGUGGUCGAAGAACUGAAAGUUAAAAGAAGCGACACGGAGAAGCUCGUUUACCUGGCUAUUGCGUAAACGAGAAGUGGAUGGACACACUCUUCAGAGGACACGCGCAGGAGCUCGGACAUCUACGGCUGGACGCAGAGAACCAAGGACAGUGUCUGUCAGAGUGUCGCGCGAGUGGAGUGCAACACACGUGGUGCGGUGAAUUCGUUUGAACGAGACACGGAAAGACAUUUGAACAGCAGCUUCUUCAAGCCCCACAGCCAAAGACUGCCGACGGCCGAAAUCGCCUUCUGCUGCGUUGCCGCCGUUUGUGACGCAGACGACAGUUCCCAUCUACAUCUGCAGUCGCUCUGCUCUGCGCUACCCCGCAGUUGGACUUCAAGGGUCCGUGAAGUAAACUUUAAAAGAUCUGAAACCGAGCACGAAGUACAGGUUGCACUUGUUGCUGUUGUCGUGGAUAUGAAAUUGAGGUGCUUCUUUUGCUGCUGCAACUUUGUUGACAGUGCCCGGCAUCCAGCAAGAACGCUUGUUCCGUGCACGUGUGUUUGUCAGCGUGUGUACUUCGUUGCAGAAGUGGCGCGCAGACGUUUUGAACGUGACGCAGCUGCCUGCCCGCGACCGUCGCUCCCCCGUGCAAGUAUCAACAGCAGUGAGACGCUGCGCAAGCUCGAGGCUUCCCAUCUCCUAAUGGAAGCAUUGUAAUGAUUUUCUACAACGGUGUCCUUGUAGAGCAUCGGUUUUGUUUGCUAUUUUCUUUGUUCAUUGCAUGUUGAUCUUGAAAGUUCUAGCCUAACUUUCGUGGUUGUUUGUUUUCUUCUCCUCUUUUUUUUAUUUUGUUCUAAAUAAUCUGCUUUAACAGUGUCAUUCUGCUAAAGAUCAUUAAUCUUUGGUGUGCUUCUGUAUAUAUUUCAAUUGCAUGUGGUAAUGAUACUUCGGAGCAGAGUUCUUGGGGAGCAAAGUCACACUUUUAUUUUUUAGUGACCACAUCUUGGAAGUGGUUGGUCUCAUGCAGAUAUGUGUUAUAUUGUUGUGCAGAUCUCUGACACACACACACAAAAAAAACUUAUUUUCACUUGACUCUGCAUCCUGAUCUUUUAAAGUGGCACCCUUUUGUCCCCCCCCCCCUUUUUUUUUCGUUUUUGUUGCAUCAAAGUUGAGGGCUGAAGCCGGAAGUGUGCGAGGACUACUGUAGUAGUAAAUUACAGCUUUUACAGUUGACAUUUCUACAGCACCCUCCACUACUUUAUUUCAAAGCUGUAUUUAUUGUUUUUCUUUUUUUGUUAUUAUUAUUAUUAUUAUUUUUUUUUGCAUGCCAAUAUCGUAGAGGGCUCUUUGUGAUUGUUUGUGGGUGGUUUCUGUUUGUUGCAAUGCAACUUUUUUUUUUCUUAGUAACUGGAAGUGGUUGUGAUGGUUGGAAACUGGAAUACGCUGACGAGAACACUGCUGUUUUGAUAUGCAGUGAAAGAAAAAGGCACACUGUCGCAGCAGAAAAAAAAAAAGAUUGUCAGAACUGCGAGGAAGUUUAAAAAACUUCAAAUGACAGUUGGAUAAAACAACCGAAAAUUUUUUGUUAACUCACUUUGUUUUUCAGUUCAUUUUGGAACCACUUAAUAGAAGCAUUAGCUUAAUAAAGACUUCUUAGCGUCCCAAGACUGAGUAGUGUAGCCAGAAAUGGGAGAUGAUCGCACAUUACUUAGCCGUAUGACUGCUCAAAGUGUAUGCACACUUGAUGUUCCAUCUAUUGUGAACUUGUGCAAGAAACACAGAUUGAGAAGUGGAGUGUACGGACAACUGCAUGGUGCGACUGAAGUUAACCGAAGAAAACAGUACACUUAUUUACAGAGAAGAAAAACAUGGAAAUUUGCAACUCAAAUGCGAAUGUUUAAAACUCCAUACAUGUAACAAGCAAGUUUGACAUAGAAAAAAAAAAGGCAUUCUAGUCAAAACUGGCUUCCACACUCGCAAAUGUUUUUCAAAGAUUUAGUCAAGUUUUCUCAUGUGUAGCACCACAAAUGAAACGCCACAUCAUACAAUGAUGCAUAGUACUGCUCUUGUAGCUCUUGUACCAUAUUUCCUUCUCAGUACGGACAACUCAAGAAUGGAAAUCUGUGGUCCAAUAGCAUUUGAGUUAGCGUGAGUGAACUUUUGUACAAAAUGAGGCAGUGAAAGUGCUUUUUCUUUUUCAGUUUCUUGUCAGUUUCCUUUUUUUCGUCUUUCUUGUUGCAUGCAAACGUUUUCUUCUUAAAAUACUCAUUCUAAUUACUAUGCACCGCUUAGUCUGUUCUCACGUGUAUGUAUGAUCUACAUCUAUGCAUUACUUUAUGAUGUGUGCCCGUGUUUUUCAACAAAUACCUGGCAUAGGCAGGGUUACAGUUGUGUGCAGUAUGCACAAAAGGUGUAAACAGCUUCAAAUGCCCUUUGUCAACAUCUCUGUGCUUGUGAUAUAAGGAAAUGGAUGUAUUCGAAAUAUAAACACUAUAGAGAGAGGCUGUCAGCUCCUGUGCAUGCAAUAUUUGAAGGUCUUUUUUGUUACUACUUUUUUGUUAUUAGUGCUGGACACAAGUUUCCUGGCUGAAUGAGAGUGCUUUCAUUGUCCUCAUGUGAAUAGAUAUAUGCCGUAGCAAUUUGUAUGUUUUUACUUCAAAUGAAUUGCAUAUAUUUGCUGACACAAUGAAAACAGAGUACCAGUUGCUUCUUCUUGAAUAAAUUAAUAAUCUUCAA